rnacentral:rRNA from 1 species
GAUGAACGCUGGCGGCGUGCCUAACACAUGCAAGUCGAACGGAGCUGCUUUGAUGAAGUUUUCGGAUGGAUUUAAAACAGCUUAGUGGCGGACGGGUGAGUAACGCGUGGGUAACCUGCCUCACACUGGGGGAUAACAGUUAGAAAUAGCUGCUAAUACCGCAUAAGCGCACAGUUCCGCAUGGAACAGUGUGAAAAACUCCGGUGGUGUGAGAUGGACCCGCGUCUGAUUAGCCAGUUGGCGGGGUAACGGCCCACCAAAGCGACGAUCAGUAGCCGGCCUGAGAGGGUGAACGGCCACAUUGGGACUGAGACACGGCCCAAACUCCUACGGGAGGCAGCAGUGGGGAAUAUUGCACAAUGGGGGAAACCCUGAUGCAGCGACGCCGCGUGAGUGAAGAAGUAUUUCGGUAUGUAAAGCUCUAUCAGCAGGGAAGAAAGUGACGGUAC